UACGGAGGGAGCUAGCGUUAUUCGGAAUUACUGGGCGUAAAGCGCACGUAGGCGGCUUUGUAAGUAAGAGGUGAAAGCCCAGAGCUCAACUCUGGAAUUGCCUUUUAGACUGCAUCGCUUGAAUCAUGGAGAGGUCAGUGGAAUUCCGAGUGUAGAGGUGAAAUUCGUAGAUAUUCGGAAGAACACCAGUGGCGAAGGCGGCUGACUGGACAUGUAUUGACGCUGAGGUGCGAAAGCGUGGGGAGCAAACGGG
rnacentral:rRNA from 1 species